rnacentral:rRNA from 1 species
UUUCCUACGGGGGGCAGCAGUGGGGAAUAUUGGGCAAUGGAGGCAACUCUGACCCAGCAACGCCGCGUGAAUGAAGAAGGCCUUCGGGUUGUAAAGUUCUUUAAUUGGGGACGAAGGAAAUGACGGUACCCAAAGAAUAAGCCACGGCUAACUACGUGCCAGCAGCCGCGGUAAUACGUAGGUGGCAAGCGUUGUCCGGAAUGACUGGGCGUAAAGGGAGCGUAGGCGGCGCGGUAAGUUAGGAGUGAAAUCCCGGGGCUCAACCCCGGAACUGCUUUUAAAACUGCCGUGCUUGAGUGAUGGAG